GACAAACGCUGGCGGCGUGCUUAACACAUGCAAGUCGAACGGAAAGGCCCCUUUGGGGGUACUCGAGUGGCGAACGGGUGAGUAACACGUGAGUAACCUGCCCUUGACUUCGGGAUAACUUCAGGAAACUGGGGCUAAUACCGGAUAGGAAUCCUUGCUGCAUGGUGGGGGUUGGAAAGCUUCGGCGGUUUUGGAUGGACUCGCGGCUUAUCAGCUUGUUGGUGGGGUAGUGGCUUACCAAGGCUUUGACGGGUAGCCGGCCUGAGAGGGCGACCGGCCACAUUGGGACUGAGAUACGGCCCAGACUCCUACGGGAGGCAGCAGUGGGGAAUAUUGCACAAUGGGCGGAAGCCUGAUGCAGCAACGCCGCGUGCGGGAUGACGGCCUUCGGGUUGUAAACCGCUUUCAGCAGGGGCGAAGCUUGUGGUGACGGUACCUGCAGAAGAAGCACCGGCUAACUACGUG
rnacentral:rRNA from 1 species